GCAAAAAUUCAGCCAUCUGUAACCAGAGUGAAUAUAGGAUGCUCAUAAUUUGUAACUGUUAGAUGCUCACUCAUAGUAAAAUGCUAAUGAAUUAAGAUGAGAAUAACCCUUGCAUAUAUAAAGAUUUAGAUUCAUGAAUUCAGCAUCAGACUUAAGUAUAACAUGGCCCAGACCUGCCCAAGGCCAAACUGUUUUUUUAGUGAAAAAGUUAUUUUUUUCAUGGAAUCUUUUUUCUACGUAUCAUCCCAGUAUAAAUUUAUUUUUCGUCCUACAUGGCUCUGUCCCUGGCCUCAUAGAAAUUUAUGUAAAUAAAAGAGCUGUUUGAAUAAUCGAUUUGCAUUUGAAAAGUAAUCCCAUGAAUCAAGGGUGUUUGAAAACUUGCUUCUAAAUAUAGUGUAACCUCUAUAAAUUAAUAAUGUUGGGACCAUGCAAAGUUAUUAAUUUAUUAAUAAAAUCCAUUCAUGAUUUAAUACACACACAUUGAACCAACUAAAUAUAAAUUGUAAUCUACUAAUUUAAUAAGUUAAAUAAGCAUUAAUAAAUUAAAGAUACAUUAAUUAAGUAAAAACUUAAAAUCAUUGUAUUCACCUAUUUAAUUAAAUAAAAUUCAUUAUUUAUUGUAUUCAUAAAAUCAAAUGAUUCAGCGUAUUAGAUUAAAGACAAACUCUAUUUAAAUAAACACAAUCUUUUCGUGUACUUCCUAACACCACUUGACAAUCUACAAUAGCUUCUCAUUUGGAAGGUGCUCCAAACAGCAGAUGAAAUGCAUAAAGAAUUAUGUGAGUAUAGCAACGAGUAUCCAACAUGCACUAUAAAAAAGAAUUACAGCAAUGACCUUUGAAAAAAUUCAACAAUCUUUAUUUUCCUUCUUCUUUUUCUUUUUCAAUUUUUUUUUUUUUUUUUUUUUUUUAGAGUUUUUGCAGGGCGAAUAUUAACUUCAAGGCUAGUGGCAUGGCACUCCUUUCAGAUUGAUAGAGUUCCGUGGGGAAAGAACAAGUUCAACAACUUCUUUAUUGAAACCAAAGUCCGGAUUACAGAUUAUGAAAUGAAAAGAAAGCCUAUAGAAGGCUGAAUAAUGCACGACUACUACUCUUCUUCCUUUCUGAUACCCACUAUUACUCCUCACUAUCUUAUUUAUAGACCUCAUGCAACAAUUUUCUGUUUAUGUAACUAAUUCGGUUGGUAGUUCCCGCUCAUUUGCUCUCUCUACCUUCU
rnacentral:lncRNA from 1 species